rnacentral:rRNA from 1 species
CGAUAACGAACGAGACCUCGACCUGCUAAAUAGUUCUGCGAAUCCUAGGAUUUGUACGUAACUUCUUAGAGGGACUAUUGGCGUUUAGCCGAUGGAAGUUUGAGGCAAUAACAGGUCUGUGAUGCCCUUAGAUGUUCUGGGCCGCACGCGCGCUACACUGACAGAGCCAACGAGUUCAUCACCUUGUCCGAAAGGUCUGGGUAAUCUUUUGAAACUUGAUCGUGCUGGGGAUAGUCCAUUGCAACUAUUGCUCUUAAACGAGGAAUCCCUAGUAAGCACAAGUCAUCAGCUUGUGCUGAUUACGUCCCUGCCCUUUGUACACACCGCCCGUCGCUACUACCGAUUGAAUGGCU